rnacentral:rRNA from 1 species
GACGAACGCUGGCGGCGUGCCUAAUACAUGCAAGUCGAACGCAGUGGGGACGGGUGAGUAACACGUGGGUAACCUCCCAUCAGAGGGGAUAACACUUGGAAACAGGUGCUAAACUGAUACUGAUGGAUGGACCCGCGGUGCAUUAGCUAGUUGGUGAGGUAACGGCUCACCAAGGCCACGAUGCAUAGCCGACCUGGAAGGCUGAUCGGCCACACUGGGGCGUAGCCACGGCCCAGACUCCUACGGGAGGAAGCAGUAGCGAAUCUGCGGCAAGGGACGAAAGUCUGGCCGAGCAGCGCCGCGUGUGUGAAUAAGGUGUUCGGAUCGUAAAACUCUGUUGUUAGAGAAGCGGUAUCUAACCAGAAAGCCCCGGCUAACUACGUGCCAGCAGCCGCGGUAAUAC